GAUUAGAGAGGUACACCUGUCAAAUGGUAACACAGGCAUCCUAAUACAAGCUUAGGGAAGACAAAAACCUCCCAUGGUAAAAGCAAAAGCUUGAUUUUUGACUUCAGUAUGAAUACAGACUGUGUGAAUGG
rnacentral:ncRNA from 1 species